GCGCGGUGAUAGGAAGGUAAACAGGCCUCCAAGGCUCUGCGGCCCCAGGAUGACUCUGCCCGGAAAAGUCAGGGACCAAACGUGCAAGGAAUAGAUCUUCUCCUUCGGGGUCCAUGGGAGUACAUUCCACGACUCAUCCAGAGGAAUCUGGGCAAAAUUCCCUAAAGCACAGGAAAGCAUCUCAAAUAAGGAAGGGGAGAAGAAGACAUCAUUUCUAAUAAGAAAGAAAGUCCGCACCACCCCCAUCUCCGGGGCUGCCCUGUGAGCCCCCACUAGGACAUCCCGCUUCCUGUUUCUCUUACCCCUGCUCAGAGGGCAAUGACCUGGAGGACGCGGAGAGCGGGGCUCCAGUAGAUCCAGGCAGGAAUCUGCAGGGUCAAUCCUUCUCGAGUCCACAGCAGUGCCAGAAAUUAUCCCGAUGAGGAAUUUUUUACUUCGACUCCAGCACUCUGACGUCAGUCACUAUUGGGAUAAUGGUAGCCGGUCUCUUACUUUUCUGCUGUUGAAGAACAGCUGCGCGGAGGCUCCUCUCCUCCUCCGAUGACCCUGCGGCAUCAUCGCCCGCGGAGUGGACAACUAUCAGGCGGUCCCGGGCAGCAGCCCCCCGGCGCCCCAGAAACUAGAAAUCUGGCUUAAACCAAGUGCUGGAAAAGCCACAGGUGCGCCCGUCAGCUCCCCGGGACCAAGCACCCCGACCGCUCACCCCGCGCGGUUUUAUGGUUUUAUGGGGUCGGAGGCAGCGCGGGGGAGGGAAGAGGCCACGGAGUUGCCGAAGCCACGAAGCCACGACGGGCCCGCGGCCCCCUGCGCUGUGGGCUUGACUCCCUGGGCCGGGUUGCUCCUUGGCGGCGUCUACCCCACACGCUUGGGAGUCCCGCAGCUGAGGCCGUGAGCUGGAGGGAGAGGGAGGGGGACCGCCGUCCUCUCCAGCUCCGACAGUAGGGUUUUCUGCAGCUCCCUAUUUACUCCCUAAGUUAGAGGUGAGGGGUGCACGUGUGGCCUGAGCCCGCAAACAACGCUCGGGUCUGAAGACUCCUCUAGGUUCAUCUUUCUUUGUAGGGGUUGAUGCAGCGACAGCCCAGGCCGGUCACCAGAAGAGGCAUCGGGGCAGAGACCCCCGCGCGGCCCUGGAUGCUGGGCUGCCACGGAGAACGGGGCCGGGGCCCGCAGGGGAGAGGGGGACACCCUUCCACAGGCCGGGGAAGGUCAGGCGCUCUGAAGGUGUGGCCGGGCGUCGGGCGCUCGGGGAGAGGCGUCCUGGGGAGACCCGCUGUGCCAGGGGUCCGGGAAACCCGGGUGGGGUGCCCCCUGUGCCCCCUCAAAUGGUCCGGACAGACGCCAGCACGUGGAAAUAUUCAUUUCUUCCAUUGCAGUUUUUUGGACUUUUUUGGGAUUUUUUUUUUUUUUUGGUUUUGGAUUUUGAGAGUUUUUUUUUUUUUUUUUUUUUUUUUUUGGAAUGGACUAUUGACAUUUAAGUCUGCGUACUUUUCUGGAAGAUGAGAAAAAUGAGGGCCAGCAGGGCCUGGGAACGAUCUAUUUUAAUCUUGUGGAAAUAACGCUGUGCUGCGAUUUCCUCCAGUCUUACCGCCGAGGGUGGUACUUUGUGGUCAACCACCAGGAUCCCACUCACUGAGUCGCCUCGGGUAUGGGGCCAAAAAUAAAAAUAAAUAAAAAAUAAAAAAACCAAAGUCCGAGUGCAA